CAUCGCCCACAAAUCGUCUCCCCGGCGACAUCCAGCGAUGCCGGCAAAGAGGCUACAUUGCUUCGCAUGGCCGACGCCGGGCACACGUCAGCGAUUCGUUGGAAUCGUCUCGUAAUGACGACGGCGAAAACGAUGAAUUGGAGAGCGAUAUGGAUCCCGAUAUGUUGGACGAAUACGUGCCUUCGGACAUAACGGAAAGCAGCUGAGAGUCCUCGCCAGAGCCGCUGGAACGAGGAGAUUGUCCAACCAGAAGCCAAAACAUGACUCCUCGCUUUGGUGGUGGAAAGAAAGGUCGUGCAUCUGGACGUGGUGGGAUGAAUCGAUGUGGUGACAAACUGGAUGGAAGCCAAAAAACAUCUUCUCCACAGCUGCACUUUUGUUCAUAGUUAAAUAGUUUUGUUGUGCGCAAAUAAAUUAUUUUGCUACAAAAAACAUUUGUAAUGUUCUUUUGUAGGAGGAACACAUUAUUGAGGUAUUUGAGCUGUCACAAAAGAAAAAAAUAGUGUAAAACCUGAAAUGAUGCUUGAAAUGCAUGCUUUUACAAAAAGCUCAUUUUCUCUGGAUUUCUGCAGAAAAUCGGCCUUUUCCAUAAAACUUAGCAGUUUUCUAAUGCUGAUAGCCAAUGAACGGAGAAAGAGUUACAAACUUUUUUUCUGCUGAAAGAAGAGAGUAUCACCUUUCUUUUGACAGUUGACAGUUUGUAUGUAUAUAUAGCCAUAGAACAGAAAAUUCUGUGGGCCUUGCAAAUCAGUCGAAAUUCAGUAAAAUGUGAGGGAUUGAGGGGGUUGCUCCAGUGAAAAGGGGUGGUAUUCAGUGAGUUAAGAGAGGGGAGCCGGAGGGUCUGUUCAUACUACAGGGCAACAUACUCCUCAGCAUCCGUGGUAAGGUCUAUUUAGGGGUGCUGGAGAGGAGGGUUUGUCGGGAAGGUGAAUCUCUGAUUCAGGAGGAGCAGUGUGGUUUUCUUCCUGGCUAUGGUACCAACACCCUUGGCAGGCCCCUCGGGGAUGCAUCGGAGUGCACUCAACCAAUCUACAUGUACUUUAUGGACUUGGACAAGGCAUUUGACCAUGUCUUGUGGGGGGUGCUGUGGAAGUAUGGUGUACAGGGCACCUUAUUAGGGCUGUUCGAUCCCUGGUCAACUGGUGUCAGAGUUUGGGCUGCAUUGCCGGCAGUAAGUCGGAUUUGUUUCCUGAGGGGUGGACUCCACCAAGACUGCUCUUUGUCAGUGAUUCUGUUCAUAGUCUGGGCUUCUCCAGCAACUGCCCCUGUGACAUGACCUCGGAUAAGCAGGGGAGAGUGAAUGAAUGAAUAUCCUUCCUAUUCUGUUCUUUUCUGUUCCUAUUCCAUUCUCUGUUCUAGUAAUCUAGUUCAAUUGGGACUUUUUUUCCUGCUCUUUUAAUUUAAUGCAUGCAUGCACCACACUGUGCCUAAGGGGUCAAUGUCAACACACACUUGAGCAGUGGUUCUUAACCUGGGUUCGAUCGAACCCGGCGGGUUCGCUGAAUCGGUCUCAGAGGUUCGACGGAGCCUCUGCCAUGGAGGCUAAGACAUACCCGACUCAGCUUGUCAAUUAGUUAUGACACGCCUGCCUGGUCAUCACUGGCUGCAGAUAAUCACAUUUGUCCAAUCAGUGCUGCGGGAAAUUUAGUUAGCUCAGUAGUCACCAUGUGACUGUCGUGA